rnacentral:rRNA from 1 species
AGAGACAGCAGCCGCCGGGGAAUACGUAGGUGGCAAGCGUUGUCCGGAAUUAUUGGGCGUAAAGGGCUCGCAGGCGGUUUCUUAAGUCUGAUGUGAAAGCCCCCGGCUCAACCGGGGAGGGUCAUUGGAAACUGGGAAACUUGAGUGCAGAAGGGGAGAGUGGAAUUCCACGUGUAGCGGUGAAAUGCGUAGAGAUGUGGAGGAACACCAGUGGCGAAGGCGACUCUCUGGUCUGUAACUGACGCUGAGGAGCGAAAGCGUGGGGAGCGAACAGGAUUAGAUACCCCAGUAGUCCCUGUCUCUUAUACA